UCACCUGCCGAAUGAACUAGCCCUGAAAAUGGAUGGCGCUGAAGCGGGCGACCGACACCAUGCCGUCUGGGCAAAUAUAUUGAUUUCGGAUGAGUAGGAGGGCGUGGCGGCCGUGUCGAAGGGCGCAUGCAGAUGCGUCUGGAACGGCCGCUAGUGCAGAUCUUGGUGGUAGUAGCAAAUAUUCAAGCGAGAUCCUUGAAGGGCGAAGCGGGGAAGGGUUCCACGCGAACAUUGAUUGGGCGUGGGUGAGUCGUUCCUAAGCCGAGUGGCGAUUGCUAAGUAGCGGCGAAAGGGAAGUGGGUUGACAUUCCCACACACGGAUGUGGAGGCGGUGACGCUUGUUUGGGGCGAACACGCCGGCGAUGGCGCUGGGCAGAGUUGUCUUUUCUGUUUGACCGCUUAUAGGCGCAGUGUGGAAUCCGCUUGUCGGGAGAAACACGCGUUUACGGGCAGAGCGCCGGGGUUAUUCCGGCGUCCAGCUCGCCAUCGACGGCCCUUGAAACUUUGCCUGCUGAAAACCUUUAUUGGUUAGAAAUCCACGCCGUGGCGUACCGAUCACCGCAUCAGGUCCCCGAGGUGAACAGCCUCUGCUCAGUAUGAAAAAUGCAGGUAAGGGAAGUCGGCAAAUUGGACCCGUAACUUUGGGAAAAGGGUUGGCUCUAGUGCUGCGUGGGAGUGGUUGCUGGGUGUUGGCGUAGUCUGGACGGGCUGCGGUGGUGCGGCGUUUUCCCCUCGGGUGAGAAUGCUGUCCACUUCGGUCUGUCUGGCUGCGGCGCGGCCGGCGACGCCCACAGCAU
rnacentral:rRNA from 1 species